ensembl:lncRNA
CUCUCUCUCUCUCUCUCUCUCUCUCUCUCUCUGUCUCUCUCUCUCCCACAAUGUCCCUCCAUCCCUCUCGGAGGGCAGGAGUGCGGUAAGUCCUCCUUUCACUGUGGACAGGUGCCUAUUACAGGUCGAGCAUAAAGAUGAGAGACGCAGGAACUCUGAGGCUUCACAGCAGCGACUGCGGCUGAUUUACGGACCCGCGACAGCCCCGAGACUCCCGGAUUCCAGUAAAUGUUUUUUACCAUGAACACCAUUUCCCCUUUGAUGCUGUGACUAAAGGCUCAAUCAUUCAACCACUUCCAUCACCGUCCGGCCUUCGCUGUCUGUGUGUCGUUUGGAUUUAAUGUCAUGUUUGUUUUUAAAAACCUGAAGCUAUGGCUGUUUACUAGAAGCGGAUAAUUGAAUGUGUUACGAAUAUCAAACACAGCAAUCAUGUGGUUUAGAUCGCCGCUAAAACUAGAAUGUCCGCGUGUAAAGCUGAGCGAGGUUGAGUUAUCUGGAUGGUUUGCUUGCUCGCGUUGGGAAGUCACAGAUCAGAAUAGAUGGGAUUACUGUAAACGCCAUAAAAACACCAUCUAGAUCAUUACUGCGGGCAAGACGGAUUAUCUUUUCAAAGGGCAAAUCUUCUUUCUGUUAGUGAAUGACUCUUGUUGCGAUGCUGUUAAAAUAACUUUGUAAAUCCAGGAUGAGGAUUUAAUAGACCUUAACACCAAUGACUCCACACAGAAAAUUGAAAGAAAGACAGUGUUUACUGAGAUUACGCAGAUCAACGUGUGUCUAGAGCCCUCAAUCCAAUCCAUGCAAGGUAGCUUUUAUGUUUCACAGUGUUUCUUUGAAGUAAUAAUGUACUUUGUCAGUGCGCUUUUCCAAAUCCUCUGAUGUUUAAAAUGUGUAUGCAGGCAGAACAGGAAGACAGAUUUCUGCAGGUGAGGACAAACACAGCACUCUGAUGUCUGUCUGUACGUUAAAGGGCAGACAGAAACAAUAACCUGCUAUGCCCAAAGGGAAGAACAGUCUCCAAGCGCCUCUCGCGCUGACUGAUUAACAAGUUAUAUCUUGUUUGUUUAUUGCAAAACGGCUCUACGUAACCAUCUCUGCUCUCAGGCUGAACACCAAGCUAAACUAAGCGACUUUGCAUGUUUGAGCUGGCUACGGCUCCUGCACAAUCAUCAAUAACUUGAGAAUAGCAAUAAGUAUAAUAUCAAAUAACAAACACAAGGGCACUAAGGGAACGCAGACCUCCACUCGGGCCAAACGCCACAUAGUCGUUCUGUUGCAUGUACGUACAGUGAGACACUUGCACACACAAACACAAGCCUACAGAACAGAAUAUUCUAGCGCCCGGUCUUUUCUAUCAGAGUUUAAUGGGUCGUGAAGAAAGUCGACCAUGGUCAGAAUGAAUGACCAUCUGCUAUAAGACUGAGUCAUGUGAACUGAAGCUUUUUACUGGCAGGCUCCCACUGCUGGGCACAUCUGUCCAGGAGUCUGCUUACUGACAGUUGUGUCUUCUUUGAUCCAUUUUCAGCAUUAUAGGAAUACAUCAGGAAUGUGUAAAAAAAAGUGUUCAUGCAGACAUACAAAAACCGCAGACCAUAACAAUCUGCAAGCACUUCUGCAUACGCACAUACUUGCACUCUUUGUUUAUUGGCAUUUGUGGGUUUUUUUCCAAAUGUUUGGGGCGUAAAUAUCACAUCCCAUAGUUUGGAUCUUCUGAAGAGACAGACGGAGUUGCAUGUGCCACCUGACAGGAUCAAAUACAUCCACCUCCCACUUUUUAUAAAAUGAAACAUAUGUGGUCAUUUCCAUAUUGUCAAAUCCUUUUGAAGAUCUCUCUAAAGAGGCGGAAUCAGAUGUUUGCUCGGGAACCCUCUGUGGAACCGACCACUGUUUGAUCUGCACAAACACUUUAAAGUGGAAAUGUACAGAUGUGCCGUAGCAUCAUUAUUGACAGGGGUAACUGUCCUUAACAGGCUUCAAACAGACUCCCUUUCCACAGAAUAAUAGGAAUAAUAUAUUCAAAUAAAUUAAACGUUGGAGUUUGUUGGUUGUGGAUCCCUCACCUGGUUUCCUUCUCUAAAAUAGUAUUUGGUGUGUUUUCAAUUACCUGUUACACAGCAUGUAAAGGGUUACACAACAACUGAAUUCACUCCAAAAUUGUAUUCAUAAAUUGAUUCAUUAUUAAACAUCAGGAGCAAGAACUGUUUGAAAAAAACAAAAAAAGGUUUGUUUUGUGCACAAUAUGUUGUCUAAGCUUGAAUCAAACGUGUGCUUCAAAAUGAAAAAACUAUGAUACAAACGAACAUGAUAAAAUAACACAUUUAAGGGUAUUGCAAAUUCUAGUUACAUGAAAAGAAUAAACUUGUUCCAACUCAAAUGAUGAGGUCAGUUUUUUACUCAUCACCCCCCCUCCCCCCUCCCCACAGCAACGUGUCACAUCGUUUUAUUCUUAAAAAAAAAACUUUGCUCGUAAACCUCAGACUUCAUCCUAAAUUUAGUGUGAGCGAAGAGCUGAAAUAAUGUUUCACUUAACAGUGGUUAACAGGUCCUGUGUCGAUUGGAGAAUAGUCUCUAUGGGGUUUGUGGUGUGUGUGUGUAUGCGUGUGUAUGCGUGUGUAUGCGUGCGUAUGCGUGUGGCUGCACACAGAUGUCCCUUUAUAAACGUCACCUUCUCCACCUUUUCAG